AAAAAGAUAAACCCUGGAUUUCCGUGUCCAAUGUUUGACCGUCUGUCUUAUUUAAAAAAAAUAUGAAAAAAAUUAAAAAGAUAAGUCAUGUAUAAAGUAUUAAUCAUGUUUUAUCAUAUAACAACAAUGAAAAUAAUAAUUAUAAAAAAUUUCAUAUAAAACGGACAGUCAAACGUUGGAUAUGGAAACCCAUGGUUUGUCUUUUU
rnacentral:pre_miRNA from 1 species